UUUUCAUUUUUCAUUUUUCAUUUUUCAUUUUUCAUUUUUCAUUUUUCAUUUUUCAUUUUUCAUUUUUCAUUUUUCAUUUUGUUGGCUGAUAAUUUUAUAAAAUUUGUUCUGAAUUAACCUCAUCAAUUUUUUUUUUAUGAAAUUAGAGUUUUCAAUAUUCAUGGCCUGUUACUUUUAAUAGAGUAGGAUAGGACCGAUUCAAAGUAAUUAUGUGAUUUUUCAAUGUUCACAACUUGGUAGGAAGAGGAAUAGGAUUUUGAUUCUUGCUUUUGUGCCACUUAAGGCACUGUGUACAGAGAUUCUUUUUCUAAAUAUACGAUUUUGGUAAUUUAUAAUUUCAGUUGAUGUUUCUUUUCGAUUAUGUGAGGCUUUCCAUUUUCUUCUUCUUCAUUUCCUUAAGAAUUGAACCAUAAAUGAGAUAAAAGUUUUCAAGUUUAUAAGGAAAAAAAUGUCCACUUUUUCUUUUCUAUUUAGUGAUCCAGUGAAGAGGAUUUUUUGUUUGAAACUACAAGUAGACUAUCUAGCUAAAGUUACACAUAAACAAGAUACAAAGUUAAUAGCUCUGAAUUGAUUUCUCUGUUAAAGUAUGUUAAAGUAUCUGAUUGUUGUUGUUUAUAUGAUUUUUGGUAGAUAUUAUUGGAUUGAUUACAGAGUACAAGAUAUUUGGUGGUUGUUAAGGUGGGGAGAUCUUUUUUUAUGUUUUAAUGGCGGUUGAGGCAUAGAGGCAUAGUCAGUGUCUAUAAUCAAGUCGCGUUUGGCUUGCCUGACCAGGUUAUGAGGGAAUGUGCAUGUCAGGUGAAACUUGUGGAAUAGGAUUGAGCUUUCUGUGUGAGGAGUGCUAAAGGGGUUUGUCCCACAAGCUUGGCUGUGCUAGGAGAUGCAGUUUCAAAAAUCUUCUUCAGCUGAAGGUUGUCUCAUUGAGUGUUAAAGGAAGUCUUCAGAACUGAUGGUGAUCAAGUUUCCACAUGCUAAAGUGAUUCAAGUGACUAAGUCAGAUUGGAAUACUGAUGAAGAAUUUGCAAGAGAGAUCAUUGCUGGUGUAAAUCCUGGUUUAGAUCACAUCCUUCAAGAGUUUCCUCCAAAAAGUAAGCUAGACAGUGAAGUCUAUGGGGAUCGUACAAGAACAAUAACCAAAGAACAAAUAGAGCUUAACUUAGAAAGGCUCACUGCAGAUCAGACUAUCCAGAACAAGAAAUUGUUCCUGCUAGAUCACCAUUUCAGCUGUUCGAAAGAUAGGACCUUUACUAAAGGUGAGGUGGCUCUGCUGCUUCAUUUGUUCUAGGAUGUUUUUCAUGUGACUGGUUUCACUUUAAAUCAAAGAAAGGAAAUACAUUUGAAGCUGAAAUUUUUCCCCUGCAAAAUUCUCAUUGUCCCCCCCCCCCACCCCCGCAAAAAUGCUUAUUCUUUUCAUGACACUAACCAAGAAAGCUGCUAAUUCAUUCCUUUUUGUCUCUUUUAUAUUAUUAUUGUUUUGUGUUUGGAUUGAACUUUGAACCAUAGAAUAGUCCUUUGGCUUUUGUGUGAUAGAUAUUAGUGUCUAUAUACGAUAUAUGCAGAAAUAUACAUUUUUUAUCACUUAUGCUUGGGAAGGAACCCACAUUUAUAUAGUGUCUUGUGUUAAAAGCUUGGGCAGCUGAAGAAAAGGUGAUUUGUUUUGUGCUUGAGGACAAACUUGCUUAAGUUUUACGCUUGAGGACAAACUGUUGUUGAGUAUAGUGGUGUGUACCAAGAAUUAUAUAGUCCUUUUCCUUUUAUUUUCUUGUGUUUUCUUUCUUUAUUUUUAUCUUUUUAAGUCUUAAUUAUUGUCUUUUGUUAUAAUUGAGUCUUUUUUAUAUUUUUGAGUCAUCAUUUGCAUUUUAGUCCUUUUAGAGUCUUUAUUUGCAUACUUAGUCCUUAGGAAUUAGUCAUUUUGAAUUGUAGUCCUUGUUCUAGCAUGUUCGAGUAAUUAAGGGCAAAAUAAGAAUAUGGAAUUCUAAAACGUGCUGAAAAUAUAGCUGAGCUCUCAUGACUUUAUGUGCAUUACAAUGAUGUUUUGUGGUUACAAAGAUGGCUUGAUGGUGUGUUUAGUGUGCAGCUCUCAUUAGUUGUCCAUGAUAGAGGUUCAAUGGAAUAUUUAUUGGAGAGUAAGGACAAGGUUGAUGAUAAUUAAGGGCCAAAAGGUUUUAGAACCAAACAUUGAAGGAAAAUAGAGUUGUUGAAGACAUAAAAGAUAUCAAAGUUGGCAUUGUGAGCUGAAGAAAGAAAAAAAAGAUGUUGUCACGGACAUGCUCCUCAUCAGUUUCUUUGCCUGUAAAUUGAAUACUUGUAAUUUUGUUUCGGAUCUUAGUUUUUUUUUUUUUGGACAGAGGCUUGUGUAAGAUGUCUUGGAGCUUUCUUAAGGCUUCUUUUGUUUUUCAUCUAACUUUGUUGAGUUUACAUGGAAUAAAGGUUUUCUUCUAUGAGUUUAUAUCUCUGUUUUGCUUGAAUGCAUGCAAGUUGUUUAACUUAUUCUUUUCAUUUGAGAUUGGAUUGAUUAGUUGCCUGCGCCUUAGGAAUGAAGGUGGGGGUUGGUAGUUGGUGGCCUGAAAAUCAGAACUUAAUUAUCUUCAAUUGAAUUAUUCAUAGGAAUCAACACUUAAAGAGUGUGGCAUGGAUCGCACUCUAUACCGCUUGGUCAUUUGAGAUUGGAUUGAAUAGUUGC